rnacentral:rRNA from 1 species
CCUACGGGAGGCUGCAGUGAGGAAUAUUGGUCAAUGGGCGCGAGCCUGAACCAGCCAAGUCGCGUGAGGGAAGACGGCCCUAUGGUUUGUAAACCUCUUUUGUCGGGGAGUAAAAGUCGCCACGCGUGGAGUUUCGCACGUACCCGAAGAAAAAGCAUCGGCUAACUCCGUGCCAGCAGCCGCGGUAAUACGGAGGAUGCGAGCGUUAUCCGGAUUUAUUGGGUUUAAAGGGUGCGCAGGUGGAAUUUCAAGUCAGGGGGAAAAUUGUGAGUCUCAACCUUUUCGAGCCGGUGAAACUGGUAGUCUUGAGUGAGUGAGAGGUAUGCGGAAUGCGUGGUGUAGCGGUGAAAUGCAUAGAUAUCACGAAGAACUCCGAUUGCGAAGGCAGCAUACCGGGGCUCAACUGACGCUCAAGCACGAAAGUGUGGGGAUCGAACAGGAUUAGAUACCCCGGUAGUC